UACGUCUCAGUUCAGAUUGCAGGCUGCAACUCGCCUGCAUGAAGUCGGAAUUGCUAGUAAUCGCAGAUCAGCAUGCUGCGGUGAAUACGUUCCCGGGCCUUGUACACACCGCCCGUCACACCAUGGGAGUCGGUAACACCCGAAGUCGGUAGCCUAACCGUAAGGAGGGCGCCGCCGAAGGUGGGAUUGGUGACUGGGGUGAAGUCGUAACAAGGUAGC
rnacentral:rRNA from 1 species